GAGGGGGUCCCCACUUCCCACUUGGUCUGCUCACACCCUCUAGGGCUCCUUUCCUUCACACAGGUCCCAGGCAGCUCCUUGGCCAGGAAGCACUCUGCACACAGCACUGAAUUCCCAUUGAGCUUCGUAUAGAAUCUAUACAGAGAAAGGGGUACAGCCCUAUUUGGGGUUCUUGAACUUUCCAUUGGGAUCAGCACUGAGGAAGCUCAUACUGAUCAUCCAGGAUACUGUUUAACAUCAGUUCUGUAUCAAAAGACACUUCAGGUAUCUGUGUGUCUACUCAAGAUAGUUUGCGAAGACAUGUCUAACUCUGUGGAGCACAACCAUUGACCGGCGCAGCUCCCCAAUGAGACAGGAAACGCUUCAGGUGGGAAGGGAAGCCCCUGGAAGGCUCUGGCAGGCAUCCUGUACUCACCAGCUGGGCAGCACUGGCAGCAGAGAUCAUCAGACAAGCACUCGCCUGGAUUACAAGAGGUCACACUAAUUGCCACAGUCACCUGAAACAGAAGAGACAUUGUCAUUAUCAACAGAUGCCCAUAUUGGUUGGCAGUUACUGUCUCUGCCCCCAGAUGGGCAGAGCUGAGACAUUAUUUCAAAACAAAAAAACAGGAAAAAUGGCUGGGGAUGUAGUUCACUGUGAAGGCCUUGAAUUUGAUCCCCUUUACUUCAAGAUGAAAAAGAAGGAGGAGCAGGAGGAGGAAGAGGAGGAAAGGAAAAUAUGAAUGAAUGGGGGCUGGGGUUUUAGCUCAGCAGCAUAAACGCCUGCCUUGCAAACAGGCAGUUGUGAGUUUGAUCCCCGGUACUGAUAAAAAGGAAAAAGACAAAAAAAAAAAAAAAAAAGAGAA